GCCGGGUGCGGUGGUGCGAGCCUGUAAUCCAGCUACUCUGGAGGCUGAGGCUGGCGGAUUGCUUGAGCUCAGGAGUUCUGGGCUGCAGUGAGCUAUGCCGAUCGGGUGUCCGCACUAAGUUCGGCAUCAAUAUGGUGAUCCCCGGGGAGCAGAGGGCCACCAGGUUGCCUAAGGAGGGGUGAACCGGUCCAGGUCGGAGACACUUUUAAGAAACUAUCAUCACCCAUCUCCUGUCAUUGCACAAUUAGAUAACCAGGGGUGGGUUUCAAAUUUUUUAACAACCGGUUCU
rnacentral:SRP_RNA from 1 species